rnacentral:ncRNA from 1 species
GUUUGGUCCUAGCCUUAUCCUCAACUCUUACUCAACUUACACAUGCAAGUAUCUGCACACCCGUGAGAACGCCCUCCCCCCUCCCACAGGACGAGGAGCUGGUAUCAGGCACAGUAUUUCGCCCAUAACACCUAGCUACGCCACACCCCCAAGGGUACUCAGCAGUGAUAAACAUUACCUAUUAGCGCCAGCUUGAUUUAGUUAGAGUAAUUAGAGCCGGCUAAUUCGGUGCCAGCCGCCGCGGCUACCCCGCUUGGCUCAAGUUGACAUAGUCGGCGUUAAGCGUGAUUAAAGUCCCACAAUAAAUUAGAAUCAAACUUCAACUAAGUUGUAACACACUUGCUUAUAAGAAGCCCUCAGACGAAAGUUAUUCUAAACCACCCUUGAAUCCACGACAGCUGAGGCACAAACUGGGAUUAGGUACCCCACUAUGCUCAGCCGUAAAACAUUUACUCACAUCUGCAACCGCCAGGGAACUACAAGCCCAAUCUUAAAACUCAAAGGACUUGACGGUGCCCCACCCACCUAGAGGAGCCUGUUCCAUAAUCGACACCCCACGAUAUACCUUACCACUUCUAGCUACUCAGUCUGUAUACCUCCGUCGUAAGCUUACCAUGUAAACGCAUUAGUGGGCUAAAUGGUUUAUUACCAGUACGUCAGGUCAAGGUGCAGCUUAUGAACUGGAAAGCAAUGGGCUACAAUUUCUAUAGCAGAAUAUACGAAAAACUGCAUGCAAUACAGUAUGAAGGUGGAUUUAGUAGUAAAAAGAAAACAGAGGGUUCUUUUUAACUAUGGCUCUGGGACGCGUACACACCGCCCGUCACCCUCUUCAAGCCGCAGCAAGAAGAGGCAAGUCGUAACAUGGUAAGUGUACUGGAAAGUGCACUUGGACUAACAAAAUAUAGCUUAUUUAAAGCACCCCGCUUACACCGAGGAGACGUCUAUAAGUAGACUAUUUUGAGCCUAAAUUCUAGCCCUUCUAACUACUUCAAAUUUACUCUUACAAAAUAAAACAUUUACCCCAUUGAGUAACGGCGAUCAAAAAAUGAUUAGGAGCCAUAAAUAAUAGUACCGCAAGGGAAACAUGAAAUAAAAUGAAAACCCUAAAGCGCACAACAGCAAAGUUUUAAUCUUGUACCUUUUGCAUCAUGGUCUAGCUAGUUUAACCAAGCAAAACGCACUUAAAGUUUGACAUCCCGAAACUAGGCGAGCUACUCUAAAGCAGUUUACAGAACCAACCCGUCCCUGUAGCAAAAGGGUGGGGAGACUUUAAAGUAGAGGUGACACACCUACCAAGCCUAGAGAUAGCUGGUUAUUCAAGAAGAGAAUUUUAGUUCACCUUUAAGCCUCCCCAAGUACUAUUAAACACCACAUAAGCUUAAAAGUUAUUCAAAUAGGGGACAGCCUAUUUGAAAAAGGACACAGCCUAAAAUCUAGGGUAAUACCCCCCCCCAUGUGAUCAAGUCAGCCCAAAAGCAGCUAACUUUCAGAAAGCGUCCAAGCUCCAUCACAACUCAUCAUCAAUCCCCACAUUAAACCCCAACCCUCAACCAUUACUGAAUAAUCUUAUAUUGUAUAAGAAAUAUUAUGCUAGAACUAGUAACAAGAAGAAGACCUUCUCCAAAAUGUAAGCGUAAGCCAAAAUAAACACUACUGGCACUUACCGCCAUAAACCUGCAGUACCAACAUAUCAAGAAAACAGUACCCCCAUGGACGUUAACCUUACACUAGAACAUUCCAGGAAAGAUUAAAAAAGAGGGAAGGAACUCGGCAAACAUUAGCCCCGCCUGUUUACCAAAAACAUCGCCUCUUGAACAAACAUAAGAGGUCUAGCCUGCCCAGUGACUCAUGUUAAACGGCCGCGGUACCCUAACCGUGCAAAGGUAGCACAAUCACUUGCCCCUUAAAUUAGGGCUAGUAUGAAAGGCCUCACGAGAGCUAUACUGUCUCCCCCCUUAAAUCAGUGAAACUGAUCUCCUCGUGAAGAAGCGAGGAUGACUUCAUAAGACGAGAAGACCCCAUGGAGCUUCAAACUUGCACCACUGCCUCUCUACAUCAACUACACGAGCAAGCUGAUUACAAGUCUUUCGGCUGGGGCGACCACGGAGAAAAACUAAACCUCCACGAUGAAGGGGACAACCCUAAUCAAAGAGCAACUGCUCGAAGAAUCAACAAACUGACAUAUUGACCCAAACACUUUGAUCAACGAACCAAGUUACCCUGGGGAUAACAGCGCAAUCCAUUUCAAGAGACCCCAUCAACAAGUGGGCUUACGACCUCGAUGUUGGAUCAGGGUACCCCAGUGGUGCAGCCGCUACUAAAGGUUCG